UAUAUAUUGGUGUAAUAAAGCAUAAAAAUUUUUGAUAUUUUAAGAAAUAGUGUAAUUCUAUUAUAUAUAC
rnacentral:tRNA from 1 species